rnacentral:tRNA from 1 species
CCUUCGAUAGCUCAGUUGGUAGAGCGGUGGACUGUAGAAAAUAGAGGAGGACCAGGGAUCAAUCAAGCAGAAAUUGCAUCUGGCCACCUCCAGUCAAUAGAAAUCCAUAGGUCACUGGUUCAAAUCCAGUUCGAAGGA